AUUGAACGCUGGCGGCAUGCUUUACACAUGCAAGUCGAACGGUAACAGGCCGCAAGGUGCUGACGAGUGGCGAACGGGUGAGUAAUGCAUCGGAACGCGCCCAGUCGUGGGGGAUAACGCAGCGAAAGCUGUGCUAAUACCGCAUACGAUCUGUGGAUGAAAGCGGGGGACCGUAAGGCCUCGCGCGAUUGGAGCGGCCGAUGUCAGAUUAGGUAGUUGGUGGGGUAAAGGCUCACCAAGCCAACGAUCUGUAGCUGGUCUGAGAGGACGACCAGACACACUGGGACUGAGACACGGCCCAGACUCCUACGGGAGGCAGCAGUGGGGAAUUUUGGACAAUGGGCGCAAGCCUGAUCCAGCAAUGCCGCGUGCAGGAAGAAGGCCCUCGGGUUGUAAACUGCUUUUGUACGGAGCGAAAAGGCUCCCUCUAAUACAGGGGGCUCAUGACGGUACCGUAAGAAUAAGCACCGGCUAACUACGUGCCAGCAGCCGCCGUAAUAC
rnacentral:rRNA from 1 species